GCCCGGGUAGCUCAGUCGGCAGAGCAGCUCCCUCGUAAUGAGCAGGUCAGGGGUUCGAGUCCCCUCCCGGGCU
rnacentral:tRNA from 1 species